ACGCACGCUGGCGGCGUGCUUAACACAUGCAAGUCGCACGGAAAGGCCCUGCUUUUGUGGGGUGCUCGAGUGGCGAACGGGUGAGUAACACGUGAGUAACCUGCCCUUGACUUUGGGAUAACUUCAGGAAACUGGGGCUAAUACCGGAUAGGAGCUCCUGCUGCCUGGUGGGGGUUGGAAAGUUUCGGCGGUUGGGGAUGGACUCGCGGCUUAUCAGCUUGUUGGUGGGGUAGUGGCUUACCAAGGCUUUGACGGGUAGCCGGCCUGAGAGGGUGACCGGCCACAUUGGGACUGAGAUACGGCCCAGACUCCUACGGGAGGCAGCAGUGGGGAAUAUUGCACAAUGGGCGGAAGCCUGAUGCAGCAACGCCGCGUGCGGGAUGACGGCCUUCGGGUUGUAAACCGCUUUCGCCUGUGACGAAGCGUGAGUGACGGUAAUGGGUAAAGAAGCACCGGCUAACUACGUG
rnacentral:rRNA from 1 species